rnacentral:lncRNA from 1 species
ACAAAUGAUAAAGACUGUCAAUCAAGAAAAUACGUGCAAUAACUUUAUUUUUGAAAUAAAUUGAACACAUAUCUUUAUUGAAAUAAAAAUUAUAAUUAUUCUAUACCACCACAGAUAUGAAAAUUAAAUUUCUGCUGACUACAGGUACAUAAUAUCAGUCUUUAAGAAUUAAACUAACUCCUAACAAUAAUCGCAGAGGGUAGGUUCCGACGGCUACAGCAGCAAUCCUUGCUCCAU